UGAAAUACCCAAUUGUAGACAUGAAACUAUAAAUAUACCCUACAUGAUUUAAUACAUAUAAACACACCCAAAACACACCCAAUUGUAGAAAGCUGUCGAUUUUUGUAUUUUAUUUUCUAUGUUAGAUUACGUUUUUGACCUUUUGGUUCGAAUAUUUUGAAACAUGCCCAAAACUCGCCAGCUAGGAUAGGAAUUUCUUGAAAUUUGGUGACCUCGUAACAGAAACCUGUUUGGCAGCCUCAGCAGAUCGAAUAUUCCAAGCGAGCUUCGUUCACUUCUUCGAACGAAGGAAGCUUCGUUCAUCUCUUUGAACGAAACGAGUUUCGUUCACCUCUUCGAACGAAGCUCAGUAUGAUGUGGUUCCAGAUCUUCUUUUUCGAUUCUUCUGAGCUUAGUAUGGCGUAGAUUGGAGUUCUAUUGCUUCAAUUUCUUUUUCUUUCUUGUUUGAUUUGGUGAUUUUUGGAUUGAUAUGCGCUGCAUGAGACUCGAUUGGAGCUUGGUGAGAUCUGUGAUCUUCGAUUUUUGAGAUUCGUUUUGAUUGUGGAUUUGCUCUUGUGUUUUGGUUUGAGCUGUGGUGAAAAAUUUGUGUUAUUCGAUUUAAUUGAGAGAUAUAUAUGGAUGAUUCGAGAGUGGCGAAGUGCACCUAUGGUGCUGGAACUUUAAUGCUUAUUUUGUCUUCAACUACUACUUUUGAUUGGUUGUCCAACGAGUUGUGUAGUAGGUUUAAGCUUAAGUUAGGUCAUUUUGAGUUGAGGUACUCUUUUAUGGAUUGCUCCAAUUGUUUGUUGGAAUCGGACGAUGAUUUGAAAAUCAUGUUUAUGGUAUGUGGACUGAUGAAGGAUCAAUUAAUUCACAUUGCUGUUAGGGAUAAGGCUGUAGUGAAUCAUGUUCAAACUGUUAAUACGAACAUGAUUGCUUC